UAUCGUAACCACACAACAACUGGCCUCAGCGGACUUACACAACAUUACGUAACAAGCGUCAAUGUUUACUUUUGAUUUUUUACAUGGGACAUGAGCAGCGGUCUCCUGGGGGAAAGUCCUGUGUUUGUUGACCCUCCGACCCGCUCUUUGUGGACUUUCUUGCUUGAUAUACUCAUUAUUAUAUUACGUAACUGUCAUAUCACAGAACUCUUAAUAACGGUCGCUCAAUAUACCACGCCACUUGCUCUGCACGUCUUUCUUUUUUUCCUGGGCUGGUUUUGCAGCAUGACCCGGACGAUGGCCUUAGCCUUGAGUUAUCUCCUCAGAUACAUAAGAACUUCUUUGCAGGUCUAUGUAUAGAAGGCUGAUAUGGGCAACGUCCCAGAUCUCAAAGCGUUGUGCGGACCUGCGAAUCAAACAAGCAUGAUUGGUUUGAUCCAGCUCCUGUUGGAAGGUUUUUGCCGACUGAUACACAGUGAUCAAGAUAUCUAACUUGGCCCACAUGAGGACUGGAGGAGGUCAAGGCAGGUAGCAUGUUCCUAGGGCUUUGACAAAUUGGUGAAAAAUUCAUGGCGGAUGGGAAAACGGCUCAAGUGUGGCUGUCUGUGCGCUGCCGGAGCGCUGGCCCCAGUCCUGUCACUCGCACUGUCCCACAGUAGGAGCACAAACAGCAUAGCACCGGCACAGACAGACAGACAGACAGACGGACAGGAAGGCUCUUGAGUGCUCAGUAUUCAUUAUUUAGUGCAGUAAUGUAGCGAAGAGGAAAUUCAGUUUGUUCGCAAGACUCCAUCUCCAAAUAAAUGCUCAUACAAUAUUA